AGUGAACGCUGGCGGUAGGCCUAACACAUGCAAGUCGAACGGCAGCACAGUAAGAGCUUGCUCUUACGGGUGGCGAGUGGCGGACGGGUGAGGAAUACAUCGGAAUCUACUUUUUCGUGGGGGAUAACGUAGGGAAACUUACGCUAAUACCGCAUACGACCUACGGGUGAAAGCAGGGGAUCUUCGGACCUUGCGCGAUUGAAUGAGCCGAUGUCGGAUUAGCUAGUUGGCGGGGUAAAGGCCCACCAAGGUGACGAUCCGUAGCUGGUCUGAGAGGAUGAUCAGCCACCCUGGAACUGAGACACGGUCCAGACUCCUACGGGAGGCAGCAGUGGGGAAUAUUGGACAAUGGGCGCAAGCCUGAUCCAGCCAUACCGCGUGGGUGAAGAAGGCCUUCGGGUUGUAAAGCCCUUUUGUUGGGAAAGAAAAGCAGCAGGUUAAUACCCCGCUGUUCUGACGGUACCCAAAGAAUAAGCACCGGCUAACUUCGUG
rnacentral:rRNA from 1 species